UUGAACGCUGGCGGCAGGCCUAACACAUGCAAGUCGAACGGUAACAGGAAGCAGCUUGCUGCUUCGCUGACGAGUGGCGGACGGGUGAGUAAUGCCUGGGAAACUGCCUGAUGGAGGGGGAUAACUACUGGAAACGGUAGCUAAUACCGCAUAACGUCGCAAGACCAAAGAGGGGGACCUUAGGGCCUCUUGCCAUCGGAUGUGCCCAGAUGGGAUUAGCUAGUAGGUGGGGUAACGGCUCACCUAGGCGACGAUCCCUAGCUGGUCUGAGAGGAUGACCAGCCACACUGGAACUGAGACACGGUCCAGACUCCUACGGGAGGCAGCAGUGGGGAAUAUUGCACAAAGGGCGCAAGCCUGAUGCAGCCAUGCCGCGUGUAUGAAGAAGGCCUUCGGGUUGUAAAGUACUUUCAGCGGGGAGGAAGGGAGUAAAGUUAAUACCUUUGCUCAUUGACGUUACCCGCAGAAGAAGCACCGGCUAACUCCGUG
rnacentral:rRNA from 1 species